rnacentral:rRNA from 1 species
UACAGAGGGCCCAAGCGUUGUUCGGAUUCACUGGGUUUAAAGGGUGCGUAGGCGGACAGGUAAGUCAGUGGUGAAAUCUCUGGGCUUAACUCAGAAACUGCCGUUGAUACUAUUUGUCUUGAAUAUCUUGGAGGUAAGCGGAAUAUGUCAUGUAGCGGUGAAAUGCUUAGAUAUGACAUAGAACACCGAUAGCGAAGGCAGCUUACUACAGGAAGAUUGACGCUGAGGCACGAAAGCGUGGGGAGCAAACAGG